rnacentral:rRNA from 1 species
AUUGAACGCUGGCGCAUGCUUUACACAUGCAAGUGAACGAGUGGCGAACGGGUGAUUAAUGCAUCGGAACGUGCCUUACGUGAGGAAUAACGCAUCGAAAGAUGUGCUAAUACCGCAUACUAAAGGAGCGGCUGAUGUCGGAUUAGCGAGUUGGUGGGGUAAAGGCUUACCAAGGCAACGAUCAGUAGCUGUCCUGAGAGGACGACCAGCCACACUGGGACUGAGACACGGCCCAGACUCCUACGGGAGGCAGCAGUGGAGAAUUUGGGCAAUGGGCGAAAGUCUGAUCCAGCCAUGCCGCGUGAUUGAAGAAGGCCUUCGGGUUGUAAAGCUCUUUUAGUCGGAAAGCGGUACCGAAGAAAAAGCACCGGCUAACUCCGUGCCAGCAGCCGCGUAAUUC